UUUUUAUGUUAGAUAAUAAAAAGCUUGCUUCUUUGGAAAAGUCUAAGGAUCGGAGUCCUGUGAUGCAGCUUUAUGCAAAAGAUGCAUCAAAGAAUUGGAAGCUUGUUGGAUCAGAUGGAGGCUACCUUUUGACAACAAAAGAGCCAUCAGCAAAUGUGGUCCUAUUGGAUUAUAUUUCAACUGAAAAAUGGCAAGACGUGGUAGAUUUUGAUGACCACCUUGAUGACAUUAGCAAAGAUUGGCUAAACCCAGAGCUCUUCAAGUAAUUUGGCCAUGUUAGCAUUUUUUGUCACUCGACUAUCGUUGAAAGUGUCUGGGAUUCAUGCAUGCUUUACCGAGUUGUUCACAAUGGAUUUAAGGCUCUACAAAGGCUUGACUAGUCAUCAAGUUGAUUGACUCAUUCUGGGAAAUGUUUGCUUCGAGAUACAUUCCAUCUUUUAAGUGGUCUCCCAGCUUGACUUUUUUUUUUUAUCUGUUAUAAACUCAAAUAGUGUCUGAUUCUUUAAAGCAUUUGAAGUAAUUUCAUAGCUGGUAGAAUUUGAAUUCAAGCCCAAGUAUUUUUGUGUUUUGUUUACUAAAUAUUCUAGGUAAAAAAUCUGUAAGAGUGGUAAGUAAAUGAAACAUGGUUUUAUCAUUUUCAAUAAGAGUUUGAAGCUACGUUCUAGCA